CAUGAAUUGUCCCACAAUAAUGGUAACUGAGCUCCACAGUGGGAUCUGGAAUUCCACUGUCAUCUCCUUUGUUUCCAGACUUACAGAAACUGUGGCCAAAGGAGGCUUGAAAUCUACUACAUCAAAGUAGACAAAAAAUAUUCUGGUGAUGAGUGACAACAGCUUUUCCAGCAGUCACCACAGCAAACCAAACUGGGAUUUCAGAGCUCAGGAUAAGAUGAUCCUGUGGAGUGGCACUGCCCCUGAACAGCAGACUGUUUCCUCUGGUUCCAGCACCACCGACGAUGCUACAACAGUGUUUCAGCAAAGACUUUCCAAGUAAUGAGGACAUGCAAAUGGAUAUUUGGAAUUGGGGCAUCACUAAGAAGCCUCUGAGCCCCAGGACUUCAAGUUCUGACAUAAAGAACCUCUCUCUGAGUGUUGUUGAUGCUUUACCAUUGAAGCUCUAAUUGGUGCCCAAAAUAGAAAACUUCAUUUAAGAAGCAGCCAUUA